GACGAACGCUGGCGGCGUGCUUAACACAUGCAAGUCGAACGGAAAGGCCCUGCUUUUGUGGGGUGCUCGAGUGGCGAACGGGUGAGUAACACGUGAGUAACCUGCCCUUGACUUUGGGAUAACUUCAGGAAACUGGGGCUAAUACCGGAUAGGAGCUCCUGCUGCAUGGUGGGGGUUGGAAAGUUUCGGCGGUUGGGGAUGGACUCGCGGCUUAUCAGCUUGUUGGUGGGGUAGUGGCUUACCAAGGCUUUGACGGGUAGCCGGCCUGAGAGGGUGACCGGCCACAUUGGGACUGAGAGAGGGACCAGACGCCUACGGGAGGCAGCAGUGGGGAAUAUUGCACAAUGGGAGGAAGCCUGAUGCAGAAACGCCGCGUGCGGGAUGACGGUCUUCGGGUUGUAAACCGCUUUAGCCUGUGACGAAGCGUGAGUGACGGUAAUGGGUAAAGAAGCACCGGCUAACUACGUG
rnacentral:rRNA from 1 species